rnacentral:rRNA from 1 species
GAUUAACGCUGGCGGUAUGUCUAAUACAUGCAAGUCGAACGCGUCCUUGUGACGAGUGGCGAACGGCUGAGUAACACAUUGGUAUCUGCCCCGAACUCAGGGAUAACCCACCUAACGGUGGACUAAUACCGGAUAGUCCCGCAAGGGUAAAGAUUUUUCGGUUCGGGAGGAGCCUGUGGCCUAUCAGUUUGUUGGUGAGGUAAUAGCUCACCAAGACUAUGACGGGUAGCUGGUCUGAGAGGAUGAUCAGCCAGAAUGGGACUGAGACACGGCCCAUACUCCUACGGGAGGCAGCAGUAAAGAAUCUUUCGCAAUGGGGGAAACCCUGACGAAGCAAUACCGCGUGGAUGAUGAAGGUCGUAAGAUCGUAAAAUCCUUUUCUGAGGGAAUAAAUAUGAAGGUACCUCAGGAAUAAGCACCGGCUAACUACGUG